UACGGAGGGGGCUAGCGUUGUUCGGAAUUACUGGGCGUAAAGCGCACGUAGGCGGAACGUUAAGUCAGAGGUGAAAGCCUGGAGCUCAACCCCAGAACUGCCUUUGAUACUGGCGAUCUAGAGUCCGGAAGAGGUGAGUGGAACUCCCUGUGUAGCGGUGGAAUGCGUAGAUAUUAGGAAGAACACCAGUGGCGAAGGCGGCUCACUGGACCGGUACUGACGCUGAGGUGCGAAAGCGUGGGGAGCAAACAGG
rnacentral:misc_RNA from 1 species